rnacentral:rRNA from 1 species
AGUGAACGCUGGCGGUAGGCCUAACACAUGCAAGUCGAACGGCAGCACAGUAAGAGCUUGCUCUUACGGGUGGCGAGUGGCGGACGGGUGAGGAAUACAUCGGAAUCUACUUUUUCGUGGGGGAUAACGUAGGGAAACUUACGCUAAUACCGCAUACGACCUACGGGUGAAAGCAGGGGAUCUUCGGACCUUGCGCGAUUGAAUGAGCCGAUGUCGGAUUAGCUAGUUGGCGGGGUAAAGGCCCACCAAGGCGACGAUCCGUAGCUGGUCUGAGAGGAUGAUCAGCCACACUGGAACUGAGACACGGUCCAGACUCCUACGGGAGGCAGCAGUGGGGAAUAUUGGACAAUGGGCGCAAGCCUGAUCCAGCCAUACCGCGUGGGUGAAAAAGGCCUUCGGGUUGUAAAGCCCUUUUGUUGGGAAAGAAAAGCAGCAGGUUAAUACCCCGCUGUUCUGACGGUACCCAAAGAACAAGCACCGGCUAACUUCGUG